rfam:Schistosoma margrebowiei strain Zambia genome assembly, scaffold: SMRZ_scaffold0002082
AUCCAGCUGACGAAUCCCAAAUAGGACAAGACGUGCGUCUUGAAU